AAGGAAUAUUGGACAAUGGGGGAAACCCUGAUCCAGCCAUGCCGCGUGAGUGAUGAAGGCCUUAGGGUUGUAAAGCUCUUUCGGCGGGGAAGAUAAUGACGGUACCCGCAGAAGAAGCCCCGGCUAACUUCGUGCCAGCAGCCGCGGUAAUACGAAGGGGGCUAGCGUUGCUCGGAAUCACUGGGCGUAAAGCGCACGUAGGCGGCUUUCUAAGUCAGGGGUGAAAUCCUGGAGCUCAACUCCAGAACUGCCUUUGAUACUGGAAAGCUUGAGUUCGGGAGAGGUGAGUGGAACUGCGAGUGUAGAGGUGAAAUUCGUAGAUAUUCGCAAGAACACCAGUGGCGAAGGCGGCUCACUGGCCCGAUACUGACGCUGAGGUGCGAAAGCGUGGGGAGCAAACA
rnacentral:rRNA from 1 species